rnacentral:rRNA from 1 species
GACGAACGCUGGCGGCGUGCCUAAUACAUGCAAGUAGAACGCACAGUUUAUACCGUAGCUUGCUACACCAUAGACUGUGAGUUGCGAACGGGUGAGUAACGCGUAGGUAACCUGCCUGGUAGCGGGGGAUAACUAUUGGAAACGAUAGCUAAUACCGCAUAAUAUUAAUUAUUGCAUGAUAAUUAAUUGAAAGGUGCAAUUGCACCACUACCAGAUGGACCUGCGUUGUAUUAGCUAGUAGGUGAGGUAACGGCUCACCUAGGCGACGAUACAUAGCCGACCUGAGAGGGUGAUCGGCCACACUGGGAAUGAGACACGGCCCAGACUCCUACGGGAGGCAGCAGUAGGGAAUCUUCGGCAAUGGACGAAAGUCUGACCGAGCAACGCCGCGUGAGUGAAGAAGGUUGUCGGAUCGGAAAGCUCUGUUGUAAGAGAAGAACGGGUGUGAGAGUGGAAAGUUCACACUGUGACGGUAUCUUACCAGAAAGGGACGGCUAACUACGUG